rnacentral:misc_RNA from 1 species
AACCUUAUGGACCUGCGGGCGUAUACCUGCGGAGGGAUCAUUACCGAGUUUACAACUCCCAAACCCCUGUGAACAUACCUAUACGUUGCCUCGGCGGAUCAGCCCGCGCCCUGUAAAAAGGGACGGCCCGCCCGAGGACCCUAAACUCUGUUUUUAGUGGAACUUCUGAGUAAAACAAACAAAUAAAUCAAAACUUUCAGCAACGGAUCU